GUUGAGAAAAGAAUAGUUAAAAAGCUGAAUAUUAUAGUUCAUUUUGGUAUUUGAACUUGUUUUACUAAGCAUCUACAAAAGUAGUUUGUCCAAGCAUACAAGCAAAGGAACUGUUUAGUAAACAAUCAUGUUUGUCAUCAUCACUUUCACUUGCGAUGUUUCUUUAUCUUUCUUCAUCAUCACCUGAUUCAGCCUUCUUCACUGUUCGACAAGUCUGCAUAGUAAAUUGGUAUUUGUUGGGGCCUAAGUGAUAACUUUCUGGGGAUUAUACAUUGUUAGUGGGUAUUCUGUACAAUGUCUUGCUGGUAAUGUUCUUUCUAUAUGCGAAAGAAUCUAAGAAGCUGCGGAGAGUUUAUAAAUCAUGAGUAACGGUGUUCAGUCGUGCAACGGAGGGUUGCAGCUUAGCAAUGAUGUGAAGAAGAAUGAUAAUGGGGAUGUUGACCUUGUUGAGGAAUUUGAUUCUUAUUGGCAAGAUAUCAAUUACCGGUUGACCGUGUCUAGGGUGGUGAGUGACACAGUCAUCAAGGGUAUGGUACAAGAGGCAGCAGAGAAAAUUGCUGAUAAAGAACUAGAGGUGACUAAAUUGAAAGAAAUGUUACAUGUUUACCAUGAGGGUGUUGAAAAUGAAUUCUUGGCGUCUUUAGCAAUGCGCCAGGAGUCAAACAGACUUAUUAAACAAGGUACCAAAGACAAGAUGCAUCCUAGCUCUCUUGAAGCUAUUUUAGAGCACGAAAGAAUAGAACAAUCUUUGAGCAGCUUAAGAGGAGCAACUAAAGAGGAGUUUAAGAAUCUCGAGGCAGAAAUUGAUAGCAUAAGAGGCAGCUCAGUUAAGAUAAUUUCUGAGUUGUUGGGUUUGAGUGACAUACAGCAAGAUAUAGUUUCUGACAGAUGGAUUGGUGUAGAUAGGACGCUGAAUUGUCUAAAGAGUGCAAUAGAAACUGGCUUUCAAGAGGUGGAACAAAUGGUUCGCUUGUCAAAGGCUGAUGUACGUGAGUGGCAACAGGAACAGGAGUUUAAAGCAGAAAUUGAAGCAUUUGUGAUGAGGAAUUGCAUUUGGAGAUUCGAAGAAAAAAUUUGGGACCAGUUUUAUAGUGAUAAAAAUGUGAAUGGGCAUGGAAGGAUGAAAGAGAGGAUAUCAGGUUUACAGCAGGAAUUGGACGCCAUUUCUAUAUCACUAUCUGUUUCUGACUUUGGGCAGCUAUCUUCUCAUGUAUCUUUGGAAGGUGACGAAGAAAGUAAUAAUUUUAAGAAGGGAGACCGUCCCCACCGGAAGGUUUUGAACGAUCUUAAAUCAUCAUCUCCAUCUCCAGCAACAUCAUCACCAACAUCAACAUCAUCACCAACAUCAACAUCAUCAUCAUCAUCAUCAUCAUCAUCAUCAUCUAGUUGGGAAGAAAAUGGCGCGCAUGAUAAGUCAGAAAUAAACAUGUCAAGAGAUGAACUGAUAAAUUAUUCUAAUACUGAGAUGACUGAGUUGAAGAGAAAUCGUGAGUCUAAAAUGCAAGAUAUGACUGAACAACUGUUCAGCCUCAGGAGGGAAUUGUUGAAAGAACGGGGAUCUUCUUUGCCAUCAAAGAAGAAUAAGGAGUUUGACAUGCUGAGGAGGAGAAUAUCUGAGGUUAUUUCUAAAUUAGAUGACAUUCUUGUCGAAAAUGAGCCAAAAGCUACAUUUGGUAUCGAUGAAGAAAGUCUUAGCCGUUUGAAAGACAGACGGGAAUCACUCCUUUCAGAAAACGCCCAGCUCAGAGAUUUGCUCACAGAUAAGAAGAGGGAAAUUAAGUGCCUUUCACUACAAGUUUCUGAAGCUGCAGAGAAAAUGUCAGAGCACAAUGGUGAAUCUUCUAGCCAUCUCUUUCUGGCAGAAGCAAAGGAGCGAUUGGAACAAGAUGCAGCAGCUGCCUUGGAAAAGGAAAAGGAGCGAUAUGAAUUAGCUGCUCAAGAGCUUGAAAAUUUAAGGGGUGAAAUUGAACAUUUGAAUAUGGAGUCCAUCAUCAUGCAAGAAAUAGUUGUAGUUAUAUUCAGAGAAGCCUUGAAGGAUGCUGAGAUGGAAAAUCUAGAAAAAGGAAAACAACUAGAAGUUGAGGUUGCAAACAAAGAAAAGUUGAACCAAAAAAUACUCUUUCUGGCAGAAGCAAAGAAGCGAUUGGAACAAGAGGCAGCAGCUGCCUUGGAAAAGGAAAAGGAGCGAUGUGAACUAGCUGCUCAAGAGCUUGAAAAUUUAAGGGGUGAAUCAAAUGCUGCACAUCGUAAUUUGGUUGAAAGACAUAAGGCAGAUAUUUGCAAGUUAGAUCAGAUGCUUCUUGAUGUCAACCAAGAGAAGCAGAAUGCUGUGUCUUUGUUUGAAGCAAAAGAAAGGGAGUUCAAGCAGCAAUUGAAAUCAUUAGUUGUCUAUAGCCGUGGAUUAUUGAGAGCGAUUACUGAUUUUGAAUGUAGAGUAACACAAGAUAUUUCAGGAAAAUCUUCAAGGUUGAAGAUUUUGAGUUCUCAAUCGCGUUCGCUUAAACAAAAAGCUAAAGUACUUGUAAAAAGAAAGAUUCUAUACAAGCAGGGAUUUGAAAGGAAAUGUUCUGACCUUGAAAAAGCUGAAGCCGAGGUAUGUAAAUCAGAUAGGUUGAUCUUUUGGGGCAGGAGGUGGACAGUCUAUCGAGCUUGGUUGAAAAAAUAUACAUGGCCCUUGAUCAUUAUUCACCAAUAUUGCAACAUUAUUUUGGAAUACCUGAGAUCUUGAAGCUCAUAAGAGGAAAAUUACAUGGACAAACUAAAGCAGUUUGAUCUACCUUUUGACUCGAUAAGGUUUCAAUUAUGGGCUAAUCCUCGAGGUGACAAGAAUCGAAUGCAGGUAACCAAGGUCAAAGAAAGAUGCUUCAUUUACAGUUGUGGUGUGUUUAGUUUUCAUUGUGUUGUAUGUGAAUAAAUUUAUAGUUGUAAUAAGCACUGAGGGAGCCAUUUAUGUAAUAUGUUGAAUUUCAAUUUAUUAUGUAAAUAUGUAGUGUAAUAUUUGACUCA